rnacentral:rRNA from 1 species
ACUGUUUGCAGUUAAAAGCUCGUAGUUGAAUUUCUGGUCGUGGCAACCGGUCCAUCCCUCACGGGAUGUGUACCAGGUUUCUGCGGCCAUCCUCGGGGAGAGCACAUCGGGCAUUGAGUUGUCUGGUGUGGGAUCCUCGUCAUUUACUGUGAGCAAAAUAGAGUGUUCAAAGCAGGCUUAGGCCGUUGAAUACAUUAGCAUGGAAUAAUAAGAUAGGACCUUGGUCUAUUUUGUUGGUUUGCAUUCCAAGGUAAUGAUUAAUAGGGAUAGUUGGGGGUAUUCGUAUUCAAUUGUCAGAGGUGAAAUUCUUGGAUUUAUGGAAGACGAACUACUGCGAAAGCAUUUACCAAGGAUGUUUUCAUUAAUCAAGAACGAAAGUUAGGGGGAUCGAAGAUGAUUAAGAUACCAUCGUAGUCCUUAACCAUAAACUAUGCCAACUAGGAUUGGUGGACGUUUGUUACACGGCCUCAGCACCUUAAGAGAAAUCAAGUCUUUGGGUUCCGGGGGGGAGAUUGGCCAAA